rnacentral:rRNA from 1 species
GACCCCAUGCCGAACUCAGAAGUGAAACGCCGUAGCGCCGAUGGUAGUGUGGGGUCUCCCCAUGUGAGAGUAGGGAACCGCCAGGU